GUGGGGAAUUUUGGACAAUGGGCGCAAGCCUGAUCCAGCAAUGCCGCGUGCAGGAAGAAGGCCUUCGGGUUGUAAACUGCUUUUGUACGGAACGAAAAGGCUCUGGUUAAUACCUGGGGCUCAUGACGGUACCGUAAGAAUAAGCACCGGCUAACUACGUGCCAGCAGCCGCGGUAAUACGUAGGGUGCAAGCGUUAAUCGGAAUUACUGGGCGUAAAGCGUGCGCAGGCGGUUUUGUAAGACAGAGGUGAAAUCCCCGGGCUCAACCUGGGAAUUGCCUGUGUGACUGCAAGGCUGGAGUGCGGCAGAGGGGGAUGGAAUUCCGCGUGUAGCAGUGAAAUGCGUAGAUAUGCGGAGGAACACCGAUGGCGAAGGCAAUCCCCUGGGCCUGCACUGACGCUCAUGCACGAAAGCGUGGGGAGCAAACAGGAUUAGAAACCCUGGUAGUCC
rnacentral:rRNA from 1 species